rnacentral:rRNA from 1 species
AGGAUGAACGCUGGCGGUGUGCCUAAUACAUGCAAGUCGAACGGGCUCUUCGGAGCUAGUGGCGGACGGGUGAGUAACACGUUGGUACCUACCCCGAAGUGGGGAAUAACUGCCCGAAAGGGUGGCUAAUACCGCAUAAUACCGUAAGGUUAAAGCAGUAAUGCGCUUCGGGAGGGGCCUGCGUCCCAUUAGCUUGUUGGUAGUGUAAUGGACUACCAAGGCUACGAUGGGUAGCUGGAUCGAGAGGUUGACCAGCCACACUGGGACUGAGAUACGGCCCAGACUCCUACGGGAGGCAGCAGUAAGGAAUCUUGCGCAAUGGGCGAAAGCCUGACGCAGCCAUGCCGCGUGAAUGAUGAAGGUCUUAGGAUUGUAAAAUUCUUUCAGCGGGGAAGAUAAUGACGGUACCCGCAGAAGAAGCUCCGGCUAACUUCGUGCCAGCAGCCGC